rnacentral:rRNA from 1 species
GACGAACGCUGGCGGCGUGCUUAACACAUGCAAGUCUAACGAAGUGGCGAACGGGUGAGUAACGCGUAAUCAACCUGCCCUUCAGAGGGGGACAACAGUUGGAAACGACUGCUAAUACCGCAUACUGAAGGAGGGGAUUGCGUCUGAUUAGCUUGGUGGAGGGGUAACGGCCCACCAAGGCGAGGAUCAGUAGCCGGUCUUAGGAGAUUGAUGGCAACAUUGGGACUGGGACCAGGCCCCGACUCCUACCGGAGGCAGCAGUGGGGAAUCUUCCGCAAUUGGAGAAAGGCUUAAGGAGCAACGCCGCGGGAGGGAUGACGGGCUUCGGGUUGUAAAGCUCUGUUAAUCGGGACGCGGUACCGGAAUAGAAAGCCACGGCUAACUACGUGCCAGCAGCCGCGGUAAUUC